rnacentral:rRNA from 1 species
UACGAAGGGGGCUAGCGUUGUUCGGAUUUACUGGGCGUAAAGGGUGCGUAGGCGGGUCUUUAAGUCAGGGGUGAAAUCCUGGAGCUCAACUCCAGAACUGCCUUUGAUACUGAGGAUCUUGAGUACGGGAGAGGUGAGUGGAACUGCGAGUGUAGAGGUGAAAUUCGUAGAUAUUCGCAAGAACACCAGUGGCGAAGGCGGCUCACUGGCCCGUAACUGACGCUGAGGCACGAAAGCGUGGGGAGCAAACAGG